UACAGAGGGUGCGAGCGUUUAAUCGGAAUUACUGGGCGUAAAGCGUGCGUAGACGGUCAUGUAAGUCGGAUGUGAAAGCCCCGGGCUCAACCUGGGAAUUGCAUUCGAGACUGCAUGGCUUGGGUGCGGAAGAGGGAAGCGGAAUUUCCGGUGUAGCGGAUGAAAUGCGUAGAUAUCGGAAGGAACACCAGUGGCGAAAGCGGCUUCCUGGUCCGACACCGACGUUCAGGCACGAAAGCGUGGGGAGCAAACAGGG
rnacentral:rRNA from 1 species